rnacentral:lncRNA from 1 species
ACCAAAAAAAUUCAGCUUAUUUGAAGUUUUUCAUUAUCUUUGAGAGAAAUAACCUUCAUUCAAUAUUCCUCUUUACCAUCUAAUUAAAUGAUAACUUUUGUAGACAUACAAACAUCUUCCAUGACAUAAUCUAUCAUUAAUAUGACAAACAUUUCAAACUAAUUGUUUUAUUUUAUGUUUCAUUUUCCUAUUCAAGAAAAUAUGUAACUCCAUGUUUCUUCUCAAUACCCUAAUCCUUUUUUCAAAAUAUAACUCCACAACUCCGUGAAAAUCCUCCCUUCAUUUUUCUUCUUAACCCUUCUUUAAAAUUUAACUACACAUCUUCGUGACAUCGUCCUUCACUGCAGCCGCUCUCGUCCCUCGUAGCACUAUGUGUAUGUCAUUUUCAAUUUUCCAUCAAAGGAUUAAAGUUGAGUCUUCUAAACAACAAAUAAAAAUACAGUCAAUGCUAUAAGAUUAAAGCAAGAAUUGUAUAGAAAAUCCUAUAGCUUAUUCAAUUGUAUGCACACUCCUACUACUUUCCCAUUUGUUAACAUAUGAAAGUUGGUUCGAUAAGUAACAAGAUAUCACCCACAAUGUUGAGACAAUAGGAUGAAGUAACGAUAAAUAUAAAAUAAGCAAUAUAAAUAACACAUGUUAUUGUUAGCCCAGUUUGCUGCAAAGUCACCUACGUAUGGAGGACAUCAAGCCAAUGAAAGGAAAAUCAUUAAUCAGUAGUCAGUAGUACAUGACAAUCUUAUCUAAACUCUUCCAGUCCAAUGUCAUUUUUCCUAAUACUACCUAUGAAUUUUGAUCCAUUCCCCCUGAAUCUGAGACCUCUCUCACUCUCACUUAAACACUCUUUCAAUUUUUAGCAAUAUUACAGUUUUAUUUGGCAUGAUACAUCACAAUUAUAAUCAAAUACUUUAUCUUUCUAACAUAACAAAGAUACUCAAGAAUAGAAUAUUACAAAAAAAAAUACAAAAGCCUCAAUGGAAACAAUAAAAUGACGCACUAAAAUCCCAGUCUCAGUCUUUAAACAAGGAGAAUCAUCUCUUUAAAUAGUAGCACAAUCCAUCCUAAAAAUUAAAUUAGGGUUUUAACACAAACCAAUGAUUCCAAAAAGCACAAGAUUCAUCUUUCUACAUUAAAGUCAAAUCUGAAUCUUGUCUAAAAUCAAAUCCAAUCAAAUCUUUAUCUGACUUACUUAAGAAAUACAAAAUCAUUAACAAAUAGAUUUAGAUUAAAAUUGUUCUUCCAAAAAUAUGUGAUAUAAAUCAUAUUUCUGAUUUACCCCAAAAUGACAAAAAUAUAGAAACAAAACAUUGAAGUGAUAAUCAUUUAGUUGAAACAAAAUAGAUCAAGACAAAUUGCAUAACAUCUUUCUUAACAUAUUUUCUACAAAAAUUUGUGAAUCAAAUGUAAUAACACUCGCCGGCUAUUUUUAGGCAAAUAAAACACAUGCAAGAUGUUACGCAAAAUGUUACACACAACCUUCCAGAAAAAAAAUUCAAGAACCCUGACAUGAAAGAGAUCAUAACAAAACACAAACAAAUCAUUUUUUUCAGAAACAUCAUAUCACAACGGAACAAUAAAGAAACAUGCAUAGAGUAGCAACAUCAAACAUCAUAGCAAAUAACAAAAACCACAUAUUAUUAGAAGAAAUUAGAAGAAUCUGUCAUUCUCCCCCUAUUUGCCUAAAAAGAGAAAAUGUAGGAGACCAUUGUCAGCCACACAUGAGUAUACAAAAUAUAGAAAAUAUCUAGUCACACAUGGGCAUACAUCUUAAAUAAAAAAUGUAGAGAAUCAAACAAAAAUAGAAAAAUAACCAGAAAUUGUAUUAAUGAGUAAACAUAUUACUGAGAUGAGAUAGAUGAAUCAUUAUCUAAGGUAGUACCAUACUCGACACCUGUACUUCAUCGGAGCUUAACAUAUCUUCGUCUUCACCCAAUGUCAUGGAAUCUUCCUCAACAUUUGGUACAACAUUAUGAGAAGUGGAAGCACCUGCAACCUGUGAACUUAAAAUUUUAAGCAACCACACACACAUAUUUUCUCGUAGUGGAUGUGGCUACUAUUUCAUUUAGCGCCUUGGUCUAUUGCAUAUGGGCCUUUAGGAUGUGGCUUUGCACAUG